rnacentral:rRNA from 1 species
GAUGAACGCUAGCGAUAGGCUUAACACAUGCAAGUCGAGGGGCAGCACAAGGUAGCUUGCUAUCUGGGUGGCGACCGGCGCACGGGUGCGUAACGCGUAUGCAACUUGCCCUAUACAGGAGGAUAACCCGUCGAAAGACGGACUAAUACUGCGUAUGCUCACAACUUGGCAUCAAGUGGUGAGGAAAGAAAUUCGGUAUAGGAUAGGCAUGCGUCCCAUUAGCUUGUUGGUGAGGUAACGGCUCACCAAGGCAACGAUGGGUAGGGGAACUGAGAGGUUUAUCCCCCACACUGGUACUGAGACACGGACCAGACUCCUACGGGAGGCAGCAGUGAGGAAUAUUGGUCAAUGGGCGCGAGCCUGAACCAGCCAAGCCGCGUGAAGGAUGACUGUCUUAUGGAUUGUAAACUUCUUUUAUACGGGAAUAACAAGAGUCACGUGUGACUCCCUGCAUGUACCGUAUGAAUAAGCAUCGGCUAACUCCGUG